AAUAUUGAGCUAUUUGCAAAUAAGUUUCGGCCUUAUUCCUGAGAAUACUGUUCUCCUUUAUUA
rnacentral:tRNA from 1 species